CCUACGGGAGGCUGCAGUGAGGAAUAUUGGUCAAUGGACGCAAGUCUGAACCAGCCAUGCAGCGUGAAGGAUGACGGCUCUAUGAGUUGUAAACUGCUUUUGUAAAGGGGUAAACGCAGAUACGCGUAUCUGUCUGAAAGUAUCUUACGAAUAAGGAUCGGCUAACUCCGUGCCAGCAGCCGCGGUAAUACGGAGGAUUCAAGCGUUAUCCGGAUUUAUUGGGUUUAAAGGGUGCGUAGGCGGGCGGAUAAGUUAGAGGUGAAAGUCCGAGGCUCAACUGCGGAAUUGCAUCUGAUACUGGCAGUCUAGAGAGUAGUUGCGGUAGGCGGAAUGCAUGGUGUAGCGGUGAAAUGCUUAGAGAUCAUACAGAACACCGAUUGCGAAGGCAGCUUACUAAGCUACUACUGACGUUGAGGCACGAAAGCGUGGGGAGCAAACAGGAUUAGAUACCCGUGUAGUC
rnacentral:rRNA from 1 species